CCCUCCCUGCUCCUCUUCCUCCGCCUCCGCCCGUUCCAAGCGGUCUCCUCCCAAUGUCACCAGCGGCCCAAUAGGGGCGGCGGCGGCAGCGCCAGUCUCGUAACUGGCGCAGCUCGCUUCCCGCUACUGAUGGAGUGGAGUUGGUACCCCGGCCGCCCAGCCCUAGAUGACCCAAACACGCUUGCUCCGUGAGCUGACACCCUGCACCCCGACCCUCUGCAAGCGGGGACGGUCGCCCAGCCUGGGCUGAGGGAGCACAGCUGCAGAGUGGAGAGAACAAAGACCAAGUCUCCUCUUUGGAAAAUGAGAGAGGUCAUCAACACCCAGACAUGUCUCCCAGUAUCACAGUGCUUCAUCAGUCUCCUCUGGACCAGUAAGCUACCCCAGAUUGAGGGAGAAAGAUGAAGAGAGGGAGCAACAGUAUCUCAAACUGGAGAAGCCCCUGGCAUGCUACUACUGGGGUCCUGAUCACCUUAUACUGGACGGCUAUGAAUGGAGGGACAAAGAAAACUUGGAGGACACUGCCAUUCAGAACCAUAGUCUUUGUUGCUUCUGAAUCCUUCCCUUUGAUCAGUAAUACUUCUUAGCAACUUUUAUUGUCUCUGCUUCUUUUUGGAAGUUCCCCCUUUCUCUUUCUACCGCUAGUUGAAUGACCUUCUAUAUUCUCAUCAGUCCAAAUUGCAAAGGAUAGCAUCAGAUUGACUGGGGCAAUUAAUCUGCCUCCUAUUAAGAAGAGAGCCUCUUGGGACUCCCGAGUGGCUCAGUCGUUAAGCGUCUGCCUUCGGCUCAGGUCAUGAUCCCAGGGUCCUGGGAUCGAGCCCCGCAUCGGGCUCCCUGCUUGGCGGGAAGCCUGCUUCUCCCUCUCCCACUCCCCCUGCUUGUGUUCCCUCUCUUGCUGUGUCUCUCUCUGUCAAAUAAAUAAAAUCUUAAAAAAAAAAAAAAAAGAGAGCCUCUUGCAGCAGGCCUCAUGUGUUGCUGACUCACUUAUGGUUAGGCUAGCCUUAGAUCAGGUGUCCAUACUUCUCUAUAGAGUAUAAAGGGCAGUGUAGCAUUAUUUCUGAGUGCAGGUCACUGGGAGGAUUUCAGAUUGAGAGAGAGAUACUGGGCACCAGGCCAAUAAAAAUACCUAGAGAAACAAAUGCACAUUCAAAUAUAGAAGAAAACAGCAUUUGAUGAAAACAUACAUACGUACAGUGAAAUAUGUUUCUGCUAAAGGUCAUGAAAUCAAAGAGAUUCAAAUACUUGUCCCCACUACAAACCACACUUACAUGGCAAGAUGGCAGCAAGAACGUCAAAUCUCUUACUGUCCAGGUCAAAUUCCUAAUAUGUGAUUCAUUGUUGAGCUCUGUCUUUCUAAAAUAAGGAAAACACUGGCCAGUUUUAGUUCUGCUUUUUAUAAUAAAGCAUGCAGUUGUGGCUUUUAUUAGUUCCAAAAGAGAAAGCAUACUACGUGAAAUAGUAAACCACAGCUUGAUUGUCCCUUGAUAAUCACAUUCCAGGGAUGUUGCAGUUUAUUUAUCCAAGUAUUGAUGAAAGGCUAACUUUUUAUUAUACACAAACCAAUUUACACUGUUCUUACAAUGAAUAAAAAAAGUCAUCUUUGCUUGCACAAUUACACCAUUA